GACGAACGCUGGCGGCGUGCUUAACACAUGCAAGUCGAACGAUGACGACCGAGCUUGCUCGGUCUGAUUAGUGGCGAACGGGUGAGUAACACGUGAGCAACCUGCCCUUCACUCUGGGAUAACCUCGUGAAAUCGGGGCUAAUACCGGAUAUGAGCUCCUGUCGCAUGGCGGGUGUUGGAAAGUUUUUCGGUGAAGGAUGGGCUCGCGGCCUAUCAGUUUGUUGGUGAGGUAGUGGCUCACCAAGGCGAUGACGGGUAGCCGGCCUGAGAGGGCGACCGGCCACACUGGGACUGAGACACGGCCCAGACUCCUACGGGAGGCAGCAGUGGGGAAUAUUGCACAAUGGGCGAAAGCCUGAUGCAGCGACGCCGCGUGAGGGAUGACGGCCUUCGGGUUGUAAACCUCUUUCAGCAGGGAAGAAGCGAAAGUGACGGUACCUGCAGAAGAAGCGCCGGCUAACUACGUG
rnacentral:rRNA from 1 species